CCUACGGGCGGCAGCAGUGGGGAAUAUUGCGCAAUGGGCGAAAGCCUGACGCAGCGACGCCGCGUGAGGGAUGAAGGUCUUCGGAUCGUAAACCUCUGUCAGCAGGGAAGAACGGUCACUGUGCUAAUCAGCAGUGAAUUGACGGUACCUGCAAAGGAAGCACCGGCUAACUCCGUGCCAGCAGCCGCGGUAAUACGGAGGGUGCGAGCGUUAAUCGGAAUUACUGGGCGUAAGGCGCUCGUAGGCGGUAUGUCAAGUCAAGGGUGAAAUCCCCGCGCUCAACGUGGGAACUGCCUUUGAAACUGGCAAACUGGAGUGUGUGAGAGGAUAGUGGAAUUCCAGGUGUAGGAGUGAAAGCCGUAGAUAUCUGGAGGAACAUCAGUGGCGAAGGCGACUAUCUGGCACAUAACUGACGCUGAGGAGCGAAAGCGUGGGUAGCAAACAGGAUUAGAUACCCUAGUAGUC
rnacentral:rRNA from 1 species